AGGACGAACGCUGGCGGCGUGCUUAACACAUGCAAGUCGAGCGGAAAGGCCCUUCGGGGUACUCGAGCGGCGAACGGGUGAGUAACAUGUGAGUAAUCUGCCCCUAGCUCUGGGAUAGCUCCGGGAAACCGGGAUUAAUACCAGAUACGACCACUUUAGACAUCUGCUGUGGUGGAAAGAAUUUCGGCUAGGGAUGAGCUCGCGGCCUAUCAGCUUGUUGGUGAGGUAACGGCUCACCAAGGCGACGACGGGUAGCCGGCCUGAGAGGGCGACCGGCCACACUGGGACUGAGACACGGCCCAGACUCCUACGGGAGGCAGCAGUGGGGAAUAUUGCGCAAUGGGCGAAAGCCUGACGCAGCGACGCCGCGUGGGGGAUGAAGGCCUUCGGGUUGUAAACCCCUUUCAGCAGGGACGAAGCGAAAGUGACGGUACCUGCAGAAGAAGCGCCGGCUAACUACGUGCCAGCAGCCGCGGUAA
rnacentral:rRNA from 1 species